rnacentral:tRNA from 1 species
UCCCUUGCCUUACUGUGCUCAUUGGUAGAGCGUCCGACUGGCAUGCGGAAGGUCAUAGAUUUGACUCCUGUUGGGAGAA